rnacentral:rRNA from 1 species
AGAUUGAACGCUGGCGGCAGGCCUAACACAUGCAAGUCGAGCGGCAGCACGGGUACUUGUACCUGGUGGCGAGCGGCGGACGGGUGAGUAAUGCCUAGGAAUCUGCCUGGUAGUGGGGGGAUAACGCUCGGAAACGGACGCUAAUACCGCAUACGUCCUACGGGAGAAAGCAGGGGACCUUCGGGCCUUGCGCUAUCAGAUGAGCCUAGGUCGGAUUAGCUAGUUGGUGAGGUAAUGGCUCACCAAGGCGACGAUCCGUAACUGGUCUGAGAGGAUGAUCAGUCACACUGGAACUGAGACACGGUCCAGACCUCCGUACGGGAGGCAGCGUAGGUGGGGAAUAUUGGACAAGUGGGACCAAGUCCUGAUCCAGCCAUGCCGCGUGUGUAGAAGAAGGUCGUUCGGAUUAGUAAAGCUAACGUUUUAAGGUUGGGAAGGAAGGUACGUACGUUUAACCUAAGUUAACCGGUUAUUACGUUUAGUUUUA